rnacentral:lncRNA from 1 species
AUGAGCCACUGCACCCAGCCCUAUGUUAUUUUAUCCCUCUCGUCUGUGGCAUUUUGUUAUGGUAGCCUGAGCAGACUAAUUAAUAUACCUUUCCCUUUCCGUAGAGGAUACAGUCAUUCAAGAAUCCACUCACCCUGCCUAGAACAGAUGAAUGACAGACUAGAAGACACUGGAUUGGAUCAAGAAAUUGGAGGGAUCAAUUCCAUCAUUGAUCAAAAAAGAAAAGAAAAGAUUAUGUGAGAAAGAAGAUUAAUGAGCGCUAUGACUGUUUAUAUUUUUUAAGCUGAAUGUCUUCAAAAAAAUCAGAUGAUGGGUAUGAAGAUUUAAAGGAAGCACUGGGAUCAUAUUGUUCCAGAAUUUUUUGCUCCUUAGUUCCGCUAAAAUCCAGGUUCCUGUGUCAUAAUCAGGAAAAAUUAGGCAUAUGGACACAUUGAAAGCUGAGGAGAGCAGAAUGUAUAAAAGAAAGAUCUCAGUGAAAUAAGGGGGUCCUGCCAACAGGUUCCCACCUCACAGAUUGCAUACUAGGCCAGCACAUGCAAGCAGAAGAGGCCAGGCUCCUCCCUGCAGAAGACUUGAAUUCCCGGUGGCUCCACCCCAUUCUUCCAGCAGCAGGUGGGCCCUUAGCCAGAGCCACUCCACGUUGAUUUAUUUUCGUUACUGCACAUGUGUUAAGGGACAGAAUUUUUCACCAUGGGCAUGGUUAGGCAAAGCCCCGAGUGCACAAUGACCUGGUUCCAUUUGGCUGUCUCCUGUCUCUAUCAUUCGCCCCUCAAAAGAAGUGCAUAUAACCGCUGUUAGAAUAAAGAUAAGGAUAAAGAUGAAGAAUGAUCUGACGACGGGGGUGCUGUUUUGGGAACACAGGAGUCAGAUCUCCCUCAGAGGCCUUAGUUUCCCCUGCAAAAGGAGCCAUCGCCUGAGGCUCUGAUUGUAGACUCUGGUUGCAUGACUGUUUGGAGUUGGAUGGCCUGAAGGUGAGAAGAGACAAACCUCGUUAUUAGAAAACAUGUAUCAAAAAAGAAGGCGGGUAAAGAUAGCUCAAAAAUCUCAAGGCCUUUUACUGAUUUGCACACUAAGAGGGAGGCCAAGAGCCUGACUGGUUGGAAAAAAAAAAAAAAAAAAAAAAAACCACACACACACACACACAAAAACAGUUUACACACUUGUUGGCAUGUCAAACUUCUGGCUUCUGGGUUCCCUUCCCCUGAGUCCAAUCCUAAGCCAACCAGUUUAAGGUUUGGGAAAUUAACUUUUCCCAGUUUGGAGGAUGCAUCUGAGGCAAGUGUCCCAUAGUACAGAGACACAAUUACCUAACUGCGAAGAGAGGACAGAGGAGGAAAAAGAAGGUGUUUUGUUUUGAAGGAGUCCCAGGGGUUCAGGAUGCCUGAGAAAGGGGUAUAGACUGAAGAUGAGUGGCCACUCAUCUAGAAAGAGGGGAGCAAGACAUCCCAGGUUCCAGCAGAUGAAGGAAAGAAUGUGAGGCAUUCCUCUUUCCUCCUUCCUUGAGUCCCAGUAACCAUGACAGGGUGCCACCCAUAGGUGUCAAAGUGGCUUUCACCCAUGUUAACAGGGGGACUCGGGGUUGGAAUAUCUGCUCUUACCCACGUACACCCUGUCUCCCCUGCUGUCAGUAACCUUUGAGUUCCCUAGACCUCAUUUAUGCUAUGGAUACUAGCAUAACCUUUAUUCAUCAAACAGGAGGCUUGGCUUAAUUGGCAGGAAUUAGUCAUGCUCCCUGCACUGUGCCUUUUAAGUUCCAUUAUCAUCUGCCUCUGGAUCCCUCAGAUCCAGUUUGUUUCCACCACCCCCCUGCCACCCUGGGGCUUCAACUCGAAGCUUGGAAUUGAGUUUGGGACAAUAUUGUGUCUCAGGGGGGUUGCAUGAACUCCUUGUAAGCCAAAUGCUAAGGUAAAGCUGUGGAAUUGAGUCCUCCUCCAACAAAGGAGAGAAAAAAGUGUCUUCCGACACAUGCAGAUAACUGGCGGCCACAGUUAUGCUUCCUAAGGUUUGGGUGCAUGGGAUUUGGCUUGGUUAGCUCCCUCAGUCUUACUUUCCAAAAAAGGAAACCUCAGAGUUUUGGCACACUAUUUUUUUUCCCAUCAUUUCACAGCAUUUGCAGGAUAAUUGCUCAGAACUAGAAUAUUGAUCCAGAUGUUUACAUUACCAAUUCCUUUCAUUCUUUCUGAGCUGCAGCUAAAGAUCACUGGUUUGUUCAUAGGAAUAAGCAGGGUUAGUUUAAAAUGUAGGCAAGAAACUUAAAAACAACUAAUGAGUUUAGAAUUUAAUGACAAAUAUGUGGUAAGUUUUGAAACACAAUUUCUCUCUCUUCAGUCCUCAUUUUUGUUAAAAACAAAUCAUGAUAGGACUGAGCUGUUUGGAAAAUAGACUUUAGUUUUAUACUUGGCCUGAUUAUUUGCCUAAAGUGCAGCAAGAAUAAUUAUCUCUACAUAGGCUUUUCAAAUUGGUUUUGAUGGAAGUCUGUUCUAGAAGGAAUCUCAGAUAGUACUUUCUAAAGUUGAGCCCAGCCAUGGGUUUGUACCCUCAAAUAUCUGUGAAUUGAGUAAACUCCUCUCUUCUUGAGGUGCCAAAAACAUGGAGUUCCUGGACCUGUUAGAAAAUGACAUACUUUACUGACUGCAGGUUAGAAACCAUGUAUGGGAACUGUGUAGAAAAGGCAUGAGGCCAGCUUUCCCAAGGGGGUUUUAUCAGUUCUGCAAAUAGAGCUUGACUCCUUAAAGGGAAGCAUACCCUUCCAGUGAAAGCCUUGAUAAAAUGACCAGUUUCUUCAAUUGCUUCCUGUUACAAAAGAAAGUGGAUUCUUAUUGCACUGAUGCAAACCACUAUGUUGCCAUAAGUUAAGAAUAUUCACAGCUAGUUUCCAAAUUCUGGACAGCCAGGCAGAGAGAGAGAGACACAAGGCCAGGCACGGUGGCUCACGCUUGUAAUCCCAGCACUUUGGGAGACUGAGGCGGGUGGAUCGCAAGGUCAAGAGAGCGAGACUGCCCUGACCAACAUGGUAAAACCCCAUCUCUACUAAAAACACAAAAAUUAGCUGGGCGUGGUAUUGCGUGCCUAUGGUCCCAGCUAACCUAGAGGCUGAAGCAGGAGAAUUACUUGAACUGGGGAGGUGGAGGUUGCAUAUAUAUAAUAUAAUAUAUAUAUACACACACACACACAUAUAUAUGUAUAUAACUUGAGAAAGAUUAAACAUCUUUUUGGCAACCCCAAAUACUUAAAAACAUCAGGUAAUCCUGUUCAGCUCUCUUCUGGGUCCUCCACGGGCCCUCUGUAGUAACCAAAAGCAAAGCAUCAAGAAAGACAAUUUUGAAAGUGCAGUUUGAUCUGAGGAAGCCUAUUAAAUAUGUUAGAGGUUUAAAAGACUUGAUGUUAUGAAAUAGAAUUCCAGAUUACCACAAAUUAUUUAUUUUGCCAAAAUGACUCAAAAAUUUUUUAAAAGAACAAAA